GCCCAGCGGGGGAUGCCGCCUCCUUCGGAUCUUUUUGCGGUCUGGGCUUGCUGUUCCUCUCAGCAGUAGUCAGGAAGCCCUUACCCCAAAAAGUAUCUGCGGGAGGCCUCAUCUGCAGGGGAGACC
rnacentral:pre_miRNA from 14 species